rnacentral:misc_RNA from 1 species
GAUGAAGAACGCAGCGAAAUGCGAUAAGUAGUGUGAAUUGCAGAAUUCAGUGAAUCAUCGAAUCUUUGAACGCACAUUGCGCCCCUCGGUAUUCCGUGGGGCAUGCCUGUUCGAGCGUCAUUUAACCCCUCAAGCCUAGCUUGGUAUUGGGUGCUUGUCCCGCCUCUCGCGCGGCGACUCACCUCAAAGUCAUUGGCAGCCCGCAUCUCGCCGGCCGUGAGCGCAGCACAGACGCGCUCUUGGCAACGACGGAUCGGCUCUCCAAAAGCUUAUUUCAACCACUGACCUCGGAUCAGGUAGGGAUACCCGCUGAACUUAAGCAUACAAUAAGCGGAGGA